UGAGGCUGAUGACGGGCGCCGGAGCGCGGUGAAGGCGACGGCGGAGGGCCGAGGCAAGAGAGAAGUUCCAGGCGGGGCUGAUCCGCAGCACCACUGAAACUGAAACACAUCACUGUCUAGUGUCUUCUAGUAGGGGGGGGGGGGGGGGGGGGGGGGGCAGCGUUCGGUGGGUCAAGCUAAUGAUCCACUACAAAAGUACAGUAUAAAAAAACAUCCGAUAAUUUGGCCCACUAAGUUUUCGUUCCAGAUAGUGUUUGAUCUGGCUGGUUUGUUCCGUCACCCAAUCAUCAAAGUAUUAUGAUUCAAAAAACAAUACUGUAUCAUUUUGGCCACCUCACGAGAAGUUGUAACAACCAAUCAAGCCAAAUUCAAUUGAUGAUUCAAAAUGGUGGGCUUCGCCCCCCCUCCCAA
rnacentral:lncRNA from 1 species